rnacentral:ncRNA from 1 species
UUUUGGGCGCCCCCUGUGGGGCUUAAUAAGGAAGACGGUUAAAUUCCGUCGCGGGACCGCCGCUGUGACCGGGGACGAAACCUGUAUUUUGCCACUCUUUCAUACAUGGAGGGGGAAGGCGCAGGGAGUAGACCGAUCCGGAAGUCAGAAGACUUGCCCAAAAAUAU